UGAGGAAUAUUGGUCAAUGGGCGAAAGCCUGAACCAGCCAAGCCGCGUGCAGGAUGACGGCCCUAUGGGUUGUAAACUGCUUUUUUGUGGGGAUAAAGUGCGUGACUUGUCAUGCAUUGCAGGUACCACAUGAAUAAGGAACGGCUAAUUCCGUGCCAGCAGUCGCGGUAAUACGGAAGGUCCGAGCGUUAUCCGGAUUUAUUGGGUUUAAAGGGAGCGUAGGCUGUCUAUUAAGCGUGUUGUGAAAUAUACCGGCUCAACCGGUGGCUUGCAGCGGGAACUGGUAGACUUGAGUAUGGAGGAAGUAGACGGAAUUCAUGGUGUAGCGGUGAAAUGCUUAGAUAUCAGGACGAACACCGAUUGCGCAGGCAGCUUACUGGGGCAUAACUGACGCUGAUGCUCGAAAGUGCGGGUAGCAAACAGG
rnacentral:rRNA from 1 species